AAAGAUCGCAGCCUUCGGCAGCUCCUACAGGGGAAACGCAUAUUCCGCGUAGGAGCUGCCGAAGGCUGCGAUCUUU
rnacentral:misc_RNA from 1 species